rnacentral:rRNA from 1 species
UACGUAGGGUGCAAGCGUUAAUCGGAAUUACUGGGCGUAGAGCGUGCGCAGGCGGUUUUGUAAGACUGUCGUGAAAUCCCCGGGCUCAACCUGGGAAUGGCGAUGGUGACUGCAAGGCUAGAGUUUGGCAGAGGGGGGUAGAAUUCCACGUGUAGCAGUGAAAUGCGUAGAUAUGUGGAGGAAUACCGAUGGCGAAGGCAGCCCCCUGGGAUAACACUGACGCUCAUGCACGAAAGCGUGGGGAGCAAACAGG